rnacentral:lncRNA from 1 species
UGCACUGGUGAAGGGGCAUGUGAUGGCCCCACUUGGAAGGGACCCACAAGGUCAAAUCCAGCUCCUGGUUCUGAACAAGACCGCCCCAGAAUCAAAGAAUGUUAGCAUGUGUUUGUCCCCUUCUGUUCCUUACUAAGUAGAGCUCCACAGACUUUUAAUCUGAUUCAAUAUAGUGUGUUUUAUAAGCUUCAUCAAGAAAAUGACAUUUUUUCUGAUAACCUGCAGUGUUUGGUUGAUGCAGUAGGUAUUAUAAAUGACUUGACUCAAUAAAAUGGCUUUUCAAAUGAGCAGAACUCAGAACUUGCUUAGGUUUUUGGUUCUAGCUUCUACAGUGUUGUAACAGUAGCUUUUGAUAUCCCUGGUGAGCUCUGCCUAUGACUUGUUAUAAGGUAUAUGCAAGUAUGUACAAAGUAGCAACAAGUUAGCAGGUAGUGAUCUCUCUAAAAUGUAGAAAUACUCUACUGCAGAGAAGUGUCAACACUAAAAGCAAUUUAGGCUUUAAAAACUUUCUGUAAAGAGCAGCAUGUUUAAAAAUAAUUACGUUAGUUUAAAUGAUCUGAAAAGGAAAACAUCUCAGUAGAUUAAAUCGUUUAUGUUUUGCUCUCAAUAUUAUUUGAUGACUUCAAAUAAGUGACUCUGAGAUCUGGAAUAUGGCUUUAAGAAGGUCUAGUUAGGCAUGUUGUAUAAAUUAUACUAGAAUAAUUUUUGUCUUUUUGUGCUAUUUAGGAGAUACUUAGAAAUUUCACAUUUGAAAUGGUCUAGAUAUGGAUGAUCACACCUAAAUUGGAGGCAGUGCUCAGGACUACUUAGGAACGAAUAAUACCUUCUGCUAAGAAGAGUUUUCAAGUGUGAUGGUACUGCUUGACUGCCUAGAAUGCACUUCAUGAGCUUGUGUGAUAAACAACUUGAGUCAAGAGUUCCUUCUAAAUUGAUUGGUCUCCAGAGAGAAAGCCAGCAUGUGCAAGGGAUUAGAAUUGAUAGUAAACAUCAGCUUAUGAUUUGUUGAGUGGAUGACUGCUGACUUCACCCAAGGUUACUCCAGUUGUCUUCUGUAAUGUGUUGUCUUGAAGGUGGAAUUGAGAUAAGCAAUGGCUACAGCUACACAUCCUCAAUGACUGUUUAAACGGGAAUCUAGCUAUUGGUUGAAACUGAAGUUUCUUAAAGUUCUGUAACUUAUUUCUGUCUGUGUGGAUUAAUUGAAAUAAAACAAAGAUGCUACCAGAAGCUUGUGUUCUG